AGGCACUCCUGGAAGGAACCCAAGAUGAUCUCCAGAAGUUGGAUUUAGACAAUGUUGACAUCCUGGAGACACCUCUGCCCCCUGUGGGUGAAAAGCUAGAGGGUCUUCUGCGGCAGAAGCGCCUGGCUGCCUCUCUCCAUGGAUAGGAUUGGAACUGUUGGUGAAAACCAUGUCCUGUCCCCCUCCAGUGGCAUGAGGAGAUGAUCAUUCCUGGAGGAAUUGCCUGAUCCCCUGUGAGCCCUGGGCCUU
rnacentral:lncRNA from 1 species